rnacentral:rRNA from 1 species
UACAGAGGUGGCUAACGUUAUCCGGAAUUACUGGGUGUAAAGGGUCCGCAGGCUGUCCUGUAAGUCAAAGGUGAAAUGAUACGGCUCAACCGUGUCUCUGCCUUUGAUACUGCAGGACUUGAGUACGGAAGAGGAGAGUGGAAUUCCCAGUGUAGCGGUGAAAUGCGUAGAUAUUGGGAAGAACACCGGUGGCGAAGGCGGCUCUCUGGUCCGAUACUGACGCUCAGGGACGAAAGCCAGGGGAG